rnacentral:rRNA from 1 species
UACCAGCUCUCCGAGUGGUAGGGAUGUUUAUUGGGCUUAAAGCGUCCGUAGCCGGCUUAGCAAGUCUCCUGUUAAAUUCAGCGACCUAAUCGUUGAGCCGCGGGAGAUACUACUAGGCUAGGAGGCGGGAGAGGUCAACGGUACUUCCGGGGUAGGGGUGAAAUCCUAUAAUCCCGGGAGGACCACCAGUGGCGAAGGCUGUUGACUAGAACGCGCUCGACGGUGAGGGACGAAAGCUGGGGGAGCGAACCGGAUUAGAUACCCGGGUAGUCCCAGCUGUAAACGAUGCGAGCUGGGUGUUGGGGUGGCUACGUGCCACUUCAGUGCGCAGGGAAGCCAUUAAGCUCGCCGCCUGGGAGUACGGCCGCAAGGCUGAAACCUAAAGGAAUUGGCGGGGGAGCACCACAAGGCGUGAAGCUUGCGGUUC